UAUGUUUGGUUAAUGAGUAAAGUAACAAAUUCCGUUACUUGGUGGUAACCCAUUCCACCCAUUUGUUUCCGUUGCAAAAACUGCGGAAACAAUUCACGUUUCUUUCCUCGAACCCAAAAAAACACAACUUUUACUCUUUCUCUCUCCUCUCAUUCCAUAAUUUUCCGAAAAAUUCCCAAGUUUGAUCGAUCGAAUCUCUAGAUUUUGCUCAAUUUGAUCAAUUUCCUAGCUCAAAUCUCCAGAAAUCAAUAAUCUUAAUCAUCACAGACUCAUAAGAAAGCUAAAGGGUUGUUUGGAGUCCCAUUCAUUCACUAUGAAACUCUUGCGGAGAUAUACACAAAAGACAAAGCUACCGGAGAUGUAAGUGAGUCAUUCGUUGAUGCCAUAGAAGGUAUUGAUCAAGAGAUUGAUAAGCAACCAUUGAUUGUCAAGAGUGAUGAAGAAGAUGAUGUGAAUUCUACUAAUUCGGACACUUGAGCAACACAAGUUAUGUGUUGGGAUUAUUCAUAUGAUGAUGGACAUAUUAUUAGUCAAUGUUUGGAUAAUUAAUGAGUGUCAAUUUUGCUUUAUAUAUAUAUUGUUUUUUUUUAACCGUAAAAUAUGUAGCAUAGACAAUAUUUUUUAUCUAGGUUAUUUUUUUAUUUUUUUUACCCGUAAAAUAUGAGCAUAGACAAUAUUGUAUUAUUCAUUCUUAUUUUUCGUUUCCGUUUGUUAUACCAAACAAGAGGAAACGGAAUGGUGAUAAUUGUUUCCGUUUCCUUUGAUGUACCAAACAACUAGUAAUGGUAACACUAAUAGUUACCCUUUCCCCUCCUAA